AGUGAACGCUGGCGGUAGGCCUAACACAUGCAAGUCGAACGGCAGCACAGUAAGAGCUUGCUCUUACGGGUGGCGAGUGGCGGACGGGUGAGGAAUACAUCGCAAUCCACUUUUUCGUGGGGGAUAACGUAGGGAAACUUACGCUAAUACCGCAUACGACCUACGGGUGAAAGCAGGGGAUCUUCGGACCUUGCGCGAUUGAAUGAGCCGAUGUCGGAUUAGCUAGUUGGCGGGGUAAAGGCCCACCAAGGCGACGAUCCGUAGCUGGUCUGAGAGGAUGAUCAGCCACACUGGAACUGAGACACGGUCCAGACUCCUACGGGAGGCAGCAGUGGGGAAUAUUGGACAAUGGGCGCAAGCCUGAUCCAGCCAUGCCGCGUGGGUGAAGAAGGCCUUCGGGUUGUAAAGCCCUUUUGUUGGGAAAGAAAAGCAGCAGGUUAAUACCCCGCUGUUUUGACGGUACCCAAAGAAUAAGCACCGGCUAACUUCGUG
rnacentral:rRNA from 1 species